UUGAUCCUGGCUCAGAGCGAACGCUGGCGGCAUGCUUAACACAUGCAAGUCGCACGAAGGUUUCGGCCUUAGUGGCGGACGGGUGAGUAACGCGUAGGAAUCUAUCCGUGGGUGGGGGAUAACUCUGGGAAACUNGNGCUNUAAUACCGCAUGACACCUGAGGGUCAAAGGCGCAAGUCGCCUGCGGAGGAGCCUGCGUUUGAUUAGCUUGUUGGUGGGGUAAUGGCCUACCAAGGCGAUGAUCAAUAGCUGGUCUGAGAGGAUGAUCAGCCACACUGGGACUGAGACACGGC
rnacentral:rRNA from 1 species